rnacentral:rRNA from 1 species
GGUAAAUUCUGCCCUAUGGUUUUCUAAAUGGCUGCAGUAUUUUGACUGUGCAAAGGUAGCAUAGUAAUUAGUUUCUUAAUUAGAAGCUGGUAUGAAUGGAUUAAUGAGAAAGAUAUUUUAUUAAUUUCAUUUUUAUAAAUUAAAUUUUAAGUAAAAAUGCUUAAUUAAUUUCUAGGGACGAUAAGACCCUAUAGAACUUUAUAUAAUAUCAUAUAUUAAUAUAUUUUUAUAAAAAAUAUUAUAUUAAUAUUUAUUAUAAUUUGCUGGGGUGGUAGAUAAAUUUUAACUUUAUAUUUAAAUUUCAAUAAUUAAUGUAAAUAAUGAUCCUUAUGGAAUUUAAGAUUUAGUUACCUUAGGGAUAACAGCGCAAUUUAAGUGGGGAGUUCAUAUCUAUAUUUUAUUUUGCGACCUCGAUGUUGAAUUAAGGAAAGAUUAAGAAGUAGAGUUCUUGUAUCUAAGUCUGUUCGACUU